rnacentral:lncRNA from 1 species
AAUACUCACACUCACCUCCAACAAAUCAACAAGUGUUCGUUCUAAAGCCAGAUGAUUUUUGUCAACACCCACGAGUUGCCAAAACACUCCUAGCAGUAUUGGGUUUCCAACAUUCUCUUGUUGAGAGAGAUUUCAAAAAAUCGUGAUGUUGAAACCCAACCCUAAUGGACAUUGUUGUGCAUAACCAUGGUAUAUCUUUUUAUCUCCCUUGAAAUUAGCUUUUCCAUUAUUUGCAUGAUGGCCUUUGAUUCUCUUAUACCAUUUUAAGGAUUCAAUUUCUUUUAUUUUAGGGCUUUAAUUUCUUCCUUACACCAUUCUUACAGAUUUCAAUUUCUCAAUUGGAAUUACCUGUUGCAGAGUGUACUCACCAUUCCACUGUGAAAGUGCAUUCAAAUUUUUGGCAGACCCGUGCCUCUAGGCCCCAUUCUCGCUGUCUACAGCCUCUCCAUGGCCUUGAUUUCAACCGUUAUCUUCACCGGGACGUUUUUCUCCACCGCCACUGAGAUCCGGGACACCCAGUGGUUCUGGUGGAGGUCCAAGACCCCAUUACAACGGCUGUUAUGCUUCCUUUUGGGGACACAACCAUCGGGGCCAACCUUCUUCUGGUUGUACGCCUACUACCUCUCUCACUUCCUCCACAUGUUCCGCACAUACUUCACCAUAUUAGGACAUCGUAAGCUGGGUUUACUCAACAUUUUCAAGAACUUAAUGAUGUUAUGCAUGUUAUUUAUGUGGCUUGAAUUCUCACAGUCAUUCCAAUUAGUAAAAAUCAUGUUGGCCACCCUAGUGUACUUUGUUGUAUACGGCUACAAGUUCUGGGUUGCAAUCGGGCCACCCAGUACAUGCUUCCCGUAUGUGUUGAGCUGCCAAAUAGUUUUAUUGGGCUCUAAUGUCCUCUGCCAUGUGGGGGCCCUUUUACUUCACUUGAGGAAAGAUGGCUGUAAUGGAAUUGGGGCCUGGAUCUUCAAUAAAACUUCCUUAAAGGAAUUGUUGGAUAUUUGGCAGAAGCACAUUUAACAAGUCACCUUUGUUCUUUAAGUCCAAUGAGAAUGUGAUGGACUCUGUUUCUACUAAUAUUGCAGUUUUAAAGGCUGCUAAAAUUUCAAUAUAGAACGUUGAUGGUGAUAGAAGAGCAUCUUUCCUUUGAAAUGCUCUCUAGCUGCUUAGAAAAUCAGUUCAUGUUGUUGCUUUAAUUCAAGCUGUUUGGCAAUAGAGGAAGGGGAAACUAGGCUCUAGAUCUUUGGUCCAAACAGGUUGGAUGAGAAAAAGGUUAAUUCUUUAUGUUGUUGAGUAGUGCCCUAGUUUUAUUUUAUUAAUAAUGAUGGAAAAACUGAUAUGGUAAGAACAAUUUUUCAAAACAGGAAAACAAGUUGCUUAAAUU